rnacentral:rRNA from 1 species
CAGUCGUACCUUCGGGUAAUCAGCCUUUCGGGUGCGGUUCUGUGGAGUUUGAGGAGCUUAACACCUUCAUGCUUUUGCAUAUUCGUGCUCUUGGGUGUACUUGCCCGUGUGGUUGGUUAACAUCAAUUUCGGGCACCAUAAAAUGGCUGGAGGAAUGUAGCUUCGAUCUCGUAUUGAAGUGUUAUAGCCUUCGGUAGAUGUGAUGAUCGAGAUUGAGGAUUGCAACGGAUACCCUUCGGGGCUACCUGUCUGAUCUCUGACGUUGCUCUGGUGUCGAAGCUUGCUUACGGUUAUACAAAGUCG